rnacentral:rRNA from 1 species
UACGGGGGGGGCAAGCGUUGUUCGGAAUUACUGGGCGUAAAGGGCUCGUAGGCGGCCAACUAAGUCAGACGUGAAAUCCCUCGGCUUAACCGGGGAACUGCAUCUGAUACUGGAUGGCUUGAGUUCGGGAGAGGGAUGCGGAAUUCCAGGUGUAGCGGUGAAAUGCGUAGAUAUCAGGAGGAACACCAAUGGCGAAGGCAGCUCGCUGGGACGGUACUGACGCUGAGACGCGAAAGCGUGGGGAGCAAACAGG